AAUCACUUAAUUUUGUCUUCAAACUGAAAACAGUAUUUUUUUCAAUACUCUCUCAGUACAAUAAUUUUACUUGAAACAACUGUAAACAGUUGUAAAUUCAGA